rnacentral:rRNA from 1 species
UAGGGAAUCUUCGGCAAUGGACGAAAGUCUGACCGAGCAACGCCGCGUGAGUGAAGAAGGUUUUUCGGAUCGUAAAACUCUGUUGGUAGAGAAGAACGUUGGUGAGAGUGGAAAGCUCAUCAAGUGACGGUAACUACCCAGAAAGGGACGGCUAACUACGUGCCAG